UACGAGGGGGGGCGAGCGUUUGUUCGGAAUUAUUGGGCGUAAAGGGUGCGUAGGCGGUUCCGCAAGUCCUGUGUGAAAUCUUCGGGCUCAACUCGAAGUCUGCACGGGAAACUGCGGGGCUUGAGUGUGGGAGAGGUGAGUGGAAUUCCCGGGUGUAGCGGUGAAAUGCGUAGAUAUCGGGAGGAACACCUGUGGCGAAAGCGGCUCACUGGACCAUAACUGACGCUGAUGCACGAAAGCUGGGGGAGCAAACAGG
rnacentral:rRNA from 1 species